CUCUCUCUACACUCUCACUCUCUCUCUAGAGCUCUGAGAGCUCUCACCCACUUUCCUCUUUGAAAAUUAAACAAAUCAAACUCCAAAACCAUGGAUCCUUGCUAUAUCGUUGCAUGCGUCAUCAGACCAUCACAGUGUAAACCACCAUUGAAGCCGAGAGCUUCAAGAUCUGAAACUCGAAUCCAGUUUUUUGUCACGUCCUCGGAGAAAACUCCGGCAAGUUUGUGGGUUGAGAUCCAAUGGACGCCGAGGCAAAACAGAAGAAAAAACGUGGCUGAUGUCAGCCUUGCAUCAAACCCACUCCGGGCUCUCGGGCUGGCAACUCUCCACCGGCCUCUCACUCGGGUCUGCUCGGGCUCCCUUGCUAACACAUGUUGGACUUGAUUGCUCUGGCUUUCUGGCCCUGUUCACUUGCCUGUCCCUCGGGCUCCAGCACACACUGGAGCUACUCUCAUCAUAUUGGAUAGGAAAAACUCAUAUAAUGUUACAUAAACCAACUUUUUAGACCAUAUUUGUAAUUAUGUAUUGUGUCACCAAUAAUAAUUAAGCACGUUAACCAAUACUAAAGUAAUAAGACAAUCAUGUCAUAUAAUUUAUAAAAUUUGGUUUAAAUAAA